GACACAACUGUGGGAGGUCUUGGAGUCAACAUGGGCCAGCAUCCCUGUGGAACACUUUAGACACCUUGUAGAGUUCAUGCCCUGACGAAUUUGGGGGGGGAGGACACUCAGUGUACAUGGCCUCUCAAAGUCUCUUAAUCCUAGGAGUACGAGAGCCAGUCGAGCGCUGAGGCUAAACUUGCGAGAGUUUGACCCGCUAGAGAGGAUUCUGCCGGCCCAUGAGUACAAGGAUCUGGAGGAGAAACCAGGCAGGCUACAAUAAUUAUUUGAUUUCACACAAGUCUCUCCCUCCACGGGCUGAUUCCACCACCCGGAGGUUGUCCGGUUUAUGAAGAGUCUGAACGAAGAGAGCUGGCCACAUGGAAGCUGGAGGUGAUGGGUUGUCUAGAUCAGAGACCAAGAAACCAAGAACAGGCUCCUCCUUGUGACUUCAACAUUUUCACUGAAUGAUGCUACACUCAGCAUGUGUCCAUAAUGUUGUGGUAGCCACUGUUCCUCACAGGAAAAUGCAGGAUUUCUGGUUCGGGAGCUGUGGAAUAAUGAAGCAAAAGCUGGGCUAUCGUUAAAAACAAAACGUGCGCCCUGUUUUACUCCUAAAGUGCUCAUUUUAUUCUACAUAGAAAUUGGGAAAGAUUUUGAGUCAUUUGUUUUUAAUGAACGUUUCUGAAUGUGCACAUAUUUCACCUGUAUGAUUCACGUGACGUAUCAGAAGAUGCACGUUUGUAUUUCUUUUUAGUUCGUUUUACCUCUUAAACUGUGAGUCUUUAGUAAAACCACUGGUUAUGAGUUCGAAAACAUUUUUUUGGAAUGAAUUCGAAUAGGCCUACUCGUUCCAAUCAAAUGCAAACACCUCGUGACAUGUUCUCUAGAAAGGCAUUAGCGUAAAUGCUUGAGGAAAUGGGAAGCUGUUUGUCAAUUACAGCACAUUUUAAUA